rnacentral:rRNA from 1 species
ACGACGGAGCACGUGAAAUUCCGUCGGAAUCUGGGAGGACCAUCUCCUAAGGCUAAAUACUCUCUAGUGACCGAUAGUGAACCAGUACCGUGAGGGAAAGGUGAAAAGCACCCCGGAAGGGGAGUGAAAUAGAACCUGAAACCGUGUGCUUACAAGUAGUCAGAGCCCGUUAAUGGGUGAUGGCGUGCCUUUUGUAGAAUGAACCGGCGAGUUACGAUUUGAUGCAAGGUUAAGCAGUAAAUGUGGAGCCGUAGCGAAAGCGAGUCUGAAUAGGGCGUUUAGUAUUUGGUCGUAGACCCGAAACCAGGUGAUCUACCCUUGGUCAGGUUGAAGUUCAGGUAACACUGAAUGGAGGACCGAACCGACUUACGUUGAAAAGUGAGCGGAUGAACUGAGGGUAGCGGAGAAAUUCCAAUCGAACCUGGAGAUAGCUGGUUCUCUCCGAAAUAGCUUUAGGGCUAGCCUCAAGUGAUGAUUAUUGGAGGUAGAGCACUGUUUGGACGAGGGGCCCCUCUCGGGUUACCGAAUUCAGACAAACUCCGAAUGCCAAUUAAUUUAACUUGGGAGUCAGAACAUGGGUGAUAAGGUCCGUGUUCGAAAGGGAAACAGCCCAGACCACCAGCUAAGGUCCCAAAAUAUAUGUUAAGUGGAAAAGGAUGUGGCGUUGCCCAGACAACUAGGAUGUUGGCUUAGAAGCAGCCAUCAUUUAAAGAGUGCGUAAUAGCUCACUAGUCGAGUGACACUGCGCCGAAAAUGUACCGGGGCUAAACAUAUUACCGAAGCUGUGGAUUGUCCUUUGGAC